rnacentral:rRNA from 1 species
GACGUAGGGCGCGAGCGUUGUCCGGAUUUAUUGGGCGUAAAGAGCUCGUAGGCGGCUUGUUGCGUCGUCCGUGAAAACCCGCAGCUCAACUGCGGGCUUGCGGACGAUACGGGCAGGCUGGAGUUCGGUAGGGGAGACUGGAAUUCCUGGUGUAGCGGUGAAAUGCGCAGAUAUCAGGAGGAACACCGGUGGCGAAGGCGGGUCUCUGGUCCGACACUGACGCUGAGGCGCGAAAGCCAGGGGAGCAAACGGG